GACGAACGCUGGCGGCGCGCCUAACACAUGCAAGUCGAACGAGCGAGAGAGAGCUUGCUUUCUCAAGCGAGUGGCGAACGGGUGAGUAACGCGUGAGGAACCUGCCUCAAAGAGGGGGAAAACAGUUGGAAACGACUGCUAAUACCGCAUAAGCCCACAGGUCGGCAUCGACCAGAGGGAAAAGGAGCAAUCCGCUUUGAGAUGGCCUCGCGUCCGAUUAGCUAGUUGGUGAGGUAACGGCCCACCAAGGCAACGAUCGGUAGCCGGACUGAGAGGUUGAACGGCCACAUUGGGACUGAGACACGGCCCAGACUCCUACGGGAGGCAGCAGUGGGGAAUAUUGCACAAUGGGGGAAACCCUGAUGCAGCGACGCCGCGUGGAGGAAGAAGGUCUUCGGAUUGUAAACUCCUGUUGUGGAGGAAGAUAAUGACGGUACUCAACAAGGAAGUGACGGCUAACUACGUG
rnacentral:rRNA from 1 species